ensembl:snRNA U1 U1 spliceosomal RNA
AUACUUCCCUGGCAGGGGACAUACCAGGAAUAUGAAGGUGGUUUUCUCCAGGGGAGGGGGGCGGGGGAGCUCAUCCAUUUGCACUCUGGAUAUGCUGACCCCUGUGAUUUCCCCAAAUGUGGGAAACUCGGCUGCAUCAUUUGUGGUUGUGGGGAACUGUGUUUGCAUUUCCCCUGU